GUGGGCUACAUGUGAUGCUGAUCUGCAGCUAUAGACUUUUUGCAAACACGUGACCACGACCACGUGAAGACGCCAUGACGGACGGCCGAAUCACCGCAAGUACAAGCUAAACAGUUGUAGAUGAGCGGAAAGUUACAUUAGUUACAAUGAGUUUAAAAUAAAUAACA